UACGUAGGGGGCUAGCGUUGUCCGGAAUCAUUGGGCGUAAAGCGCGUGUAGGCGGUCCGGUAAGUCCGCUGUGAAAGUCGGGGGCUCAACCCUCGGAUGCCGGUGGAUACUGUCGGGCUUGAGUACGGAAGAGGCGAGUGGAAUUCCUGGUGUAGCGGUGAAAUGCGCAGAUAUCGGGAGGAACACCAAUGGCGAAGGCAGCUCGCUGGGACGGUACUGACGCUGAGAAGCGAAAGCAUGGGGAGCGAACAGG
rnacentral:rRNA from 1 species